rnacentral:rRNA from 1 species
GACUGUACAAAGGUAGCAUAAUCAUUUGUCUUUUAAUUGAAGGCUGGUAUGAAUGGUCGGAUGAAAAAUAUACUUUCUUUAUUUUAUAGAAAAAAUUUAAUUUUUUAGUCAAAAAGCUAGGAUGCAUUUAUAGGACGAGAAGACCCUAUAGAACUUUAUUUUCUUUUUUAUAUAUUUUUUUUGGUUAUUUAAAAGACUAUAUUUUAAUGUUAAUUUUAUUGGGGUGAUGGAAAAAAUUUUAUAACUUUUUCUAUUUUAUACAUUUAUUUAUGUUUUUUUGAUCCUUUAUUAAGGAUAACAAGAUUAAGUUACCUUAGGGAUAACAGCGUUAUUUUUUUGGAGAGUUCUUAUCGAUAAGAAAGUUUGCGACCUCGAUGUUGGAUUAAAAUAAGUGACAGGGGUAGAAUAUUGUUUACUAGGUCUGUUCGACCUUUAAAUUUUUACA